ensembl:lncRNA
AAGGAGACGUUAUUAUCAAAGAAGUUUGCCUUUGAAGGGAAGGAAAGCAAUGGAGAGAUGCCUCGAGAGUUAAAGUUUUUGGAAGGCUGAAUAAUGGCUUCCUGACAGAUGUGCAUGUCCUGAUCCCUGAAUCCUAUGGAUCGUUACCUUUCAAGGGCACCCAGUUCACUGUGGAAGAGGGAUGGUGACAGAGAAUGCUUGUAUAUUUCCCAACUGUGAAGAGAAUGCUUUAUGAGGCGUGUGUUGCUGGUUUGCAGAAAUGGCUGUUUUUUGUCAUCACUUGCUGGGCUAGAUCAGGUCCUCUUCUAUGACUUUUUAAAGACCUCUGUUCACACAGCUGCUUUGGCAAGUCAGGAAUCAAACUGACAGCCCAUUGGAAAGGCAUACCCUGUCACAAGUCUAAAGAGAAACAGAGUGACAGUUCCCAGGCUCAAGUGCAAGGCGUGCCGCUCAAUCUUCUUUGGCUGGCUAGGAUCUUGGUUGAUGCAGGGCGCCGAUGCCAGACAGCAGAGGGCCUGGAGUAACAAAAACAAGGCCCCGCAAGCUCAUCCUGAACCAUCAAGGCAGGAAACACAGGCAGAAAUCCAAACUUCAUUAGAGCUGAAGAGAUGAAAGUACAAUUGAAUAUCUUUGAGGGAUCAUUCACAAUCAAUGUUUUUAACUUCUAUUAUUUCUGUACCUGCUGCUAAAUGAGAAGGGCAGACUGCAAACUUUGGAAUUAGCUGGGGCCGUAUAAUCUUCUCCAAGAUGAGGAUAUCAGAUCUCAAAAAUAAAUGGAAAGAAUGAUUUUUCAGAGGGAAUAGUCUGGGUAAAGAAUAAUGCUAUUUGUACCAGUAGCAGCGGGCAAGUCACACAGGAUUGAACCCCUUUAUCCUCCCCUCAAAUCGCACUCUGUGGAGGUAGUUCAGUGAAUCUCUGGAAUGACAGGUGUGUUAAUCCAUUCGAGCUGCUAUAACAAAAUAUCACAGCCUAGAUAGUUUACAAACAAUAGAAAUUUAUUUCUGAAGUUCGGGAGGCUGGGAAGUCCAAGAUUGAUGCUGGCAGAUUUGAUGUCUGGUGAGAGCCUGCCUCUUAGACUCUGUCUUUUCUAUAUAAUCUCACAUGGCAGAAGGGCUAAGGAUCUCUCUGUGGUCUCUUAUAAUGGCGCUAAUUCCAUUCAUAAGAGUUUCACCUAAUACCUAAUACCAUGGCUUUGGGGGUUAUGAUUUCAACAUAUGAAUUUAGGGGGGACAUAAAUAUUCAAUUUUUUGCAACAGGUUUCCUGGGUCGCUCAGAUUUUUUUUUUUUUAAGUUAGAGUUUAUUUUUACCCACCAAAAUAUAUAAUGAGUCAGAAUCCAGGAUUGGAUCUUAAAUGGUUGUGAAUAUGGAGCCCCAGGAGAAUUGGAACUUGACUUUUAAAAAAGGAGAGUAGCCUAUAGAAAUCACAGUUUUCUAGUUCUGUUGCUGACACAAUUUGUCCCAGAAAAAAGAAGGCAUCUACCACAAAUAUGGCAGCUGACCUUCAGAAUGGUGAGAGAAGGUGUGAGGAAUCCACCUGGCAAUUAGAUGUCUAUUCAGAAAGGUGGCCAUGCAGACAUGUCAUUCCAUUAAUCUGGAACUCUUCAUAGUAGUGUAGUCAACAGCCAUUUCCUUUACUUCUUUCUUACCACAGUAAAUUAGUUCCAUUUAGCAGUCUAAAAUCGUGGUGUUGAUAAGCUGCUGCAUUCUUUCUGGAGAUUCUAGAGGAGGUUCUGUUUGCCGCUCCUUUGAGUUAUUGGCAGAAUUCAGGUCCUUGUGGUUGUAGGAGUGAAAUCCCGCUUUCCUUGUGUGCCGUCAGUUGAGGGCCAUUCUAAUGGCGACUCAUAUUCCUUGACUCUUGGCUCCCUUAUCUUCAAAGCCUGCAAUGGUGGGUCUAGUCCUUCUGCUUGGAAUCUCUCUUCCUUCUUCUGUCUCAUCUCUCUAACUCAGUUUAGAAAAAUUCUAAACUGCUUUGAGUUUACUUUGCUUUGAGUACUGAUGAAAUUAGAUUUGACCCAUCCAGAUAAUCCAGGAUAAUCUCCCCAUCUCAAGGUCUGUACCCUUAAUGACACUCAUGAGGUCCCUUUUCCACAAAGGUAACAUAUUCAUAGGUUUUGAGUGAUUAGAGAGUGGAUAUCUUAGGGAGUGGGGGGCAUUAUUCUGCCUCUAAUAUUUAUCUUUUCACAUUAAAGAAGGCACAUUAUGAUCAGGCCUUUUAAUUUUUAUCUUGGAGUUCUCAUUCUCUGUUUCAUUUUCUAUCCCCAGCACAUCCAACGUAUCAACAGAUCUUUGUUUCCAUGCAACAAUCUUUAUAAUGCACUCCUGUUUCAUGCAUGAAUAACUUUUCUUUAUUUCAAUUUUUUCUCUUCUCUCCCUUCAAACCAAUGAUUUUUAUACUUACACAAUCUGUUAUUACAACUAUCAUUCUCAUAUCAGUUAUAUUUAGCUUUUGUCCCUACUUUUCUGUCAGUUGGUUUUGUUAACAUCCAAAUUUUCUCUAUUUUCAUCAGUGUAUGGCUUCUGCAUCCUAGGCUCUCAGAGAGAAUCAUUAUUUUAAGGCUUUAUAGAAAUGGAUUAAAAGAAAGAGGAGAAAUGCAAUAAUUUGAGAAACUUUCUGCUUUCCAGUAAUAGAUUUUAUUACUUAUUUUGUUUUCAUUUUCCUUUUUAUUAUAUUUUUAAUUAAAAAAUUAAUACCUACUCAUUCUAACAAUUGAUGCAAUAUUAAGUGUAUAAUAAAAUACGUAAUAAGUACUCAUUAACCCCAGCUAAUCCCAUACCUAGUUAAUGAAAGUUAGUAGUUUGUGUAUCCUGUGUAUCUUUCCACUUCUUUCUCAACGAUCAUAUAACUAUAUACAAAUACAUAGAAACUUUUCAUUUUCAUUUGCUGUAAUGGGUUGAAUUAUAUCCCUCUAAAAUUCAUGUAUUGAAGUCUUAACCCCCAGUACCUCAGAAUCUGACCUUAUUGGGAAAUAGAGUUAUUACAGAUGUAAUUAGUUAAGAUGAGGUAAUUAGAAUGGACCCUAAUCCAAUAUGAGUGAUGUCCUUAGGAAAAGGGACAUGCACACAGGGAAACUGCUCUGUGAAGGUGAAGGCAGAGAUUAGGGUGGUGCCUCUCAGGCCAAGGAAUGCCAAAGAUGGCCAGCAAACAACCAGAAGAUAGGCAAGAGGCAUGGGACAGAGUCUGUCUCACACAAUUCUUAGAAGGAGCCAACCUUGCCAACACCUUGUUCUUGGACUUCUACCCUCUGGAACUAUGAGACAAUAAAUUUCUGUUGUUUAAGGCUCUCAGUUUGUGGUGCUUUGUUAUGGCAGCCCUAGCAAACUAAUACGUCUGCCUUACAAAUAUGAGAUCGUAUUGCACGAAUUAUUUUAUGACGUGCUUUGUUCACUUAACCACAUGUCAUGAACAUCUCUUUAAUUAGCAUAUUUUAAGGAAGGGCAUUUUCACUUCGUGGAUAGGAAUGUGGAAUAUGGGGCUGGAGCUGCUUCUGGCCCCUUUCCUCAGGUCAGGAUUGGAUCUGGAAAGCAGUAGAAGUCAUGAAAUAGUUCCAGUUAUGAGAAAUGGACCAACAUGGGGAUGGCAUACCAGGCAAGGACUCAGAGUAGCCCCUAUGGGUUUACUUGUGCAGUCCCCUCGGCACCAGCACAGAAUUUGACUCAACAAGGAGAAAAUCUCCCUCACACUCCAUGUGCAUAUGUGAUACCACGACAUAAGCACUAGCUGAACAGUGUGAUAUGGAUCAAUGUUGGGCUCUGCUCCACGUGGUCACUCUGGGAGCCUGGCUUAUUCCCUUGUGUCACUCCACUAUCUUCUGGGACUUUGUUUCCCUCUGCAUUCAGCUACACAUAUGGGGAAAGUGAGAAAAUGUGGAGAAAGCAUACCCACUCUUAACUGCAUUCCCCAGAGGUGAUGCAGGUCACUUCUAUUUACAUUUCAUUGGCAGGAACUCAGUCCAGUGAUUCCUUCUAACUGUGGGGGAGGCUGGGAAAUGUAGUUUGGUGGUGGGACCAGAAGAAGCAGAGAGCUCUCUUCCACAAUGUGCAAUCAUUUUCAAAUAAAUAUAAAGAAAUAAAAUGGGCUUGAUGCUAAAAACAAUAUAAAACAUAUUUAAUAUUUACAUUCUUACAGUGCAUACUGUUAUGAAUAUCAAGUCUGUUUGUACCAUAGAUUGAUUCAUUUAUUUAUUCAACAGAUAUUUAUUGAGUGCCCACCAUGUGCCACUUUGCUAGACACUGGUAGUACACUGGUGAGCCAGAUAGCUAUAGUCCCUGAAUUCAUCAAGUUAACAGUUUAGUGGUACAGACAUACGCUAAUUAAUGUGUAAUUUCAAAAUAUCUAGAUGUACUUUUACAGUACUUCUGGGUAGUACAAUGCCAUAUAAAGAAUAUUUUCUCAAUUUCCCUUCAAUCUCAUAAUAAUUUCAUAAUAAUUUCUUAAUUAUUUAAUUAAUUUUAUAUUUCUUUAUCCUCCAGGCACAAUAAUUUUCAGAGUAUUUAGUGGGUGGUUGUCAUUUCCUAGAGAUAGUUAAUAGAAAUGGAGGGUUGUCUUUAUUCAGAGUUGAGUUUGAGCCAAUGCCAUCAUUUUAUACCCUUUGAUAAGUGUUUUUGAUGAAACUCCU